AUUGAACGCCGGCGGAAUGCUUUACACAUGCAAGUCGAACGGCAGCACGGGGGCAACCCUGGUGGCGAGUGGCGAACGGGUGAGUAAUACAUCGGAACGUGCCCAGUCGUGGGGGAUAACGUAGCGAAAGUUACGCUAAUACCGCAUACGAUCUACGGAUGAAAGCGGGGGACCGUAAGGCCUCGCGCGAUUGGAGCGGCCGAUGUCAGAUUAGGUAGUUGGUGAGGUAAAGGCUCACCAAGCCGACGAUCUGUAGCUGGUCUGAGAGGACGACCAGCCACACUGGGUCUGAGACACGGCCCAGACUCCUACGGGAGGCAGCAGUGGGGAAUUUUGGACAAUGGGCGCAAGCCUGAUCCAGCCAUUCCGCGUGCAGGACGAAGGCCUUCGGGUUGUAAACUGCUUUUGUACGGAACGAAAAGGCUCUGGUUAAUACCUGGGGCUCAUGACGGUACCGUAAGAAUAAGCACCGGCUAACUACGUGCCAGCAGCCGCAGUAA
rnacentral:rRNA from 1 species